rnacentral:rRNA from 1 species
UAUUGCACAAUGGGGGAAACCCUGAUGCAGCGACGCCGCGUGAGUGAGGAAGUAUUUCGGUAUGUAAACUUCUUUUCUCAGGGACGAAGCAAGUGACGGUACCUGAGGAAUAAGCCACGGCUAACUACGUGCCAGCAGCCGCGGUAAUACGUAGGUGGCAAGCGUUAUCCGGAUUUACUGGGUGUAAAGGGCGUGUAGGCGGGAAAGCAAGUCAGAUGUGAAAACCAUGGGCUCAACCUGUGGCCUGCAUUUGAAACUGUUUUUCUUGAGUACUGGAGAGGCAGACGGAAUUCCUAGUGUAGCGGUGAAAUGCGUAGAUAUUAGGAGGAACACCAGUGGCGAAGGCGGUCUGCUGGACAGCAACUGACGCUGAGGCGCGAAAGCGUGGGGAGCAAACA